CUAUACAUGCAAGUCGUGCGGACCUUUUAAAAGCUUGCUUUUAAAAGGUUAGCGGCGGACGGGUGAGUAACACGUGGGCAACCUGCCUGUAAGACCGGGAUAACGCCGGGAAACCGGGGCUAAUACCGGAUAGUUUUUUCCUCCGCAUGGAGGAAAAAGGAAAGGCGGCUUCGGCUGCCACUUACAGAUGGGCCCGCGGCGCAUUAGCUAGUUGGUGGGGUAAUGGCCCACCAAGGCAACGAUGCGUAGCCGACCUGAGAGGGUGAUCGGCCACAUUGGGACUGAGACACGGCCCAAACUCCUACGGGAGGCAGCAGUAGGGAAUCUUCCGCAAUGGACGAAAGUCUGACGGAGCAACGCCGCGUGAGUGAAGAAGGCCUUCGGGUCGUAAAACUCUGUUGCCGGGGAAGAACAAGUGCCGUUCGAACAGGGCGGCGCCUUGACGGUACCCGGCCAGAAAGCCACGGCUAACUAC
rnacentral:rRNA from 1 species